GCAGCCGCCGGGGGAAGCGGAGUCUCCGCAAACUUGCUCUGAAUUCGCUGCAGGAACUUUGUGGCUGCUUUGCUUGGGCUGUUCUGGAAAACUGCGCUUGUUCUCUGAGCCCGGCCUUUUCAUGCUUCACAAAUAAACAGAGGAUAAACUCGGGAGGAAAUGUGGAGCUGGGGAGAGUGGUUGCAGUUCCUGUGUUUGUCUCCAGGACUGUGAUAUGUGUUGACUGCAGAGCUGACUACAACACUAUUUGCAAUAGCCAAGACAUGGAGACAACCUUAAUGUCCAUCGUCAGAGGAGUGGAUCAAGAAGAUGUGGUACAUAUACACAAUGGAAUAUUACUCAGCCACUAGAAAGAAUGAAAUACCAGCAUUUUUUGCAACAUGGAUGGACCUAGAAAUUAUCAUGAAAAGUGAAGUCUGCCAUACAAUGAGAUACCAAUAUCAAAUGCUUUCACUGACAUGUGGAAUCUGAAAAAAGGACAGACUGAAUUUCUUUGCAGAACAGAUACUGACUCACAGACAUUGAAAAAUUUAUGAUCUCUGGAGAAGACAGUUUGGGGGGUGGGGGGUAUGCUUGGGUUAUGGGAUGGAAAUCCUGUGAAAUUGGAUGUUAUGAUCAUUAUACAACUACAGAUGUGAUAAAUUCAUUUGGGUAAUAAAAAAAAG
rnacentral:lncRNA from 1 species